GAAGCAUUCACUUUUGAGUUGCUGUAGAUAAUAAUCAGACUUAAGAAGCUCAAGACUCAGAUAUACUUGACUAAACGCACUCAAACAAAAAAUUUAAUACAAAUAUUAAUCAUUACGGAGUCUGGGUCUGCAAAAUAAGAAAAUGAACGGCUGUCUUGUGAAACUCUGCAUAUUUCUGUCUCUUACUGUAGAGGGUACUCGGGGAUCCGAGCUGACCAUCAAUGUGACGAAGGAUGCUUCUGUAACACUUGUAUGUUCCAGCAAUGAGGACUUAAAGAAGUGCUACUGCCCUUCAUACCCUCAGAUUUGCCACAGGUGUAUAGAUACGACAAGACUGUACAUUCUUUUUAAAUACUACAGUUCAGAGAACUAUUUUAUGUUGUCUGGACUCGAAUACAAUAACUCAGGACUGUAUGUGUGCUCCAACAAGUAUUACAACAGACUUGGGAGAAGGUACAGAUUAAAUGUGCUUGAAGAUCAUCAAGACCCGACUGUUGUGAUUGGCACUGUGAAUCAAACCAUGGUCAUGUCAUGUGGCAGCGAACUGGACAUCAUGGCUGCCUCAGAGAAACACUGGUGCCGCUUAUCCAGUGCAAACCUCUGUCAGCCAGACACGGUCAUGGGUCCUGACAAUAAAACCAGAGGGGAUUUCAACAUGGACAGUACCGGCUCAUUCUCCCUGGAGAAACGUCAGCUAACGCUCAACGAUACGGGAUUCUACAGAUUCACACAUUUUACUAUAAAUCAGACAAAGGCCUGUGUAGUGGAGCUCCAGGUUAAAGACGAGCCACAUUUUUUGCAGAUCAGUCCCGUUCAGGUCGAGUCGAGGCCAGAUAAGCCCUUUCAGAUCAAAUGCCAGUAUUCCCAGGACUUGCGAGAAUUCUCGAAAUCUUGGCUAUGUGACGGUAAAGAGUGUGAUGAGACAGUGAGGAGUGUAGAUGAUAGAUUCCAGUCUGCCCUAGUAUUGACUCUUGACUAUGUGGCUUGCUCAAAAAUUAAAUCUUUCGAGUGUGUGGCAAAGACGGUAGGCAGCUCUGUACCAUCCAACGUUUAUUUGAAACCUCCCUACAAAAAUCCUACUGUAGAGGUGCUGUUGUCUUAUAAUCGAAACAACAAGAAAGUGCGGGUAAACAUUUACAGUCAGCUUAAUCUCAUUUGUUAUAAUCCUGACAGGUAUGAAUAUGACAGGCACAAUUGGGGCAGAGAGAGGCACGAUGACUAUUUUUACCAACCUCCACCAAAGUGGUGUAAAGUGAGUUACCCUCAGUGUGUGCCUGUGACAGAUAAUGUAAAAGAAACAACAAACUCAGCCACAUUACAAAUAUGUGUCACGCCAAGCGACGCUGGAACAAAAUAUCGCUGCCUGUCCGGCAGGGGAUAUUUCUAUGAUGUUGAAAUCGAUGUCAUCGGUAUGUACAAUAUUUACAUGCAGAUUUUAUGUUUAUUUAUUUUUUUUAAACGAAUAGCAGAUGUGUUAUUUUUGUUACAUUGUUGUUAAGAUUUUGAUAGCUGACAAAAUUCAAGUUGAAAACAUUAUAAUUUCAUUAAUAAUUGUCUCGGAAAACAACUGUGACUCUAUGAGUCAAUAGGCGUUGAAGUAACAAUAUAAAUAUCCAAUAUUCAUAUUUUUAUUUUCUAAUGAGUACAUGAUGGAAUAAUUAAACAAUUAAACAUUUGUCCAAAAGAUGUAUGUCAGGGUUCAAUUGAAAAAGAACAAAAUCAAAAUUUUGAAUUUUAAAAGUCAAUAAGAUAAGAUUGUCCUCACCAGAAAAAACAAAACAAAAGCAUUGGUCGUUCGUCCAAACACUUGAGAUGACCUGUGCUUAUUGUUUCCUGACAUGCUUCUUAUGGAUCAUGUGGCUAUUAAAUGUUCAGGAGGAAGCGAUGAAGUAGUGUGAAAUUUCAUAGAGAGGAUGUCUGUGUGUAAUGGAUGAAGUGUGUCUGACUUUAAAACUGACAACCACCAUCUCUCCCUGACCUUAACCAAGUGCCUUAUCCAAACCUUAUCAUAGCAUCGCACAAAUUGUUUUGGAAAUGUUCAUAUGGUUGUUUUUUGAAAGGCAAUUACAGCAUGGUUAAAGUAACGGACAGAUCUUGGUUACAGUUAAUAAACUGACAAAUUUUAUUACAAGUCUGUGACAGGAUAUAAACUGUGGACUCUUGAAAUGAAAGUCAGACAUGCUACACACCCUUCCACACCCCCGCCUCGACGUGUACAUGACACAUCAUUGCCGAAAUAUAGUGGAACUUACCCACUGCUUCAUCUCCCCUUGCUACCCCACUAAAGGAACAUGGCAAACAAAGACGCAUUCUAUGUACAGUGACAUCACGUUUCACUCUCCAUUUUACAGUACCUCCUCCUCCUUCUGCUCCUCGAACAACCACUCCAGCCAGGACUACACCGCCAAGGCUGUAUUACUUGUUAUUUGAACAUAUAUAACGUUAUACAUGAAGUUACAUACUGUAUAUACACUUUGAGGCUUUCUGACGGUACAGUAACAUUCCUGUCUUCUAUAUCCAACAGUGAACCACAGAACCCUGUAGGCAUCAUAAUAAUAGUGACCCUCAUGUGCCUUUUAAUCGUCCUGUUGUGUGUUACUGUCACCAGAUACAAGGGUCAAAAACUCAGGGAGAGGUUGUUUGCGAGGAGAACGCCGUUGUCAGCAGUUGACAUUCAUGCAAACAUGUACGCCAACUCAGUGGCCAACUACUACAGUAAUAAUCGACAGCAAGUGCCCCCACCCGAUAAACAAGGUAAAGGGGACGACAAGGACACCACGAGUAGCUUGGAUGAUGACUUUGAGGAGUUGCCCGUUUGCCCGAAGACGUCCUCCAGCGACAAGCAAGAAGAAACGGAUUACGUCAGGGUUCGACUCGGAGGAGGGGUUUGGUCUCAGAAUGUCGAUGCUUUGCUAAGGGACAGUGAACAGUUUGGCCAAGGUGGGCGUCCACUUCGUACCCGUGACCAUGCGUCAGGUUCGGGUAGAAAAAGUGAGGUGGGACACACGAGCAAGAAAAACACAGACAAAGUGGUGAAAAAACAGGGUGAGGACGCUGCUCAGAGUAGCUCAGGGUGCAGCGAGGAUGACGAUGACGAUGACGUCACCUACACUCACGUGACCAUCAAACCCAAACAUGGACUUAAGUAGUUACAUCAAGAAAUGAGCUGUGGGGUGUUGUUAGUGCGGAAGACAACAACAACAUGAUGAUGAUGAUGAUGAUGAUGAUGAUGAUGAUGAUGAUGAUGAUGAUGAGUGAAAUUAUUUUUGGAUUGAGAUUUAAAGCUCUCUAAACGGGUAGAGCAGGCCUGGCUCUGUUUUUCUACCAGGGACCUUCAACCAGCCAACAUGUGCUGUGCACAAAGUUGUGUUCCCGAAAAUUUUGAGUGAACAUCUUUGCAGCAUUUGGAAGUUAGAAAGAGCUUCAGACACUUGACAUGCAUCGGUAUUGCAUUUGUUAAAGUUUAAGUUUUUUUUUUAAGUUAGUAAGCUAAGCCACCUUACUAGCUAACAGCAUGUACAGCAGCAUGAAGUUAAUAUUUGUAUUUAUGCAACGAAGCAAACAUCAGCUUGCUUGAAGAGUUUGAACUUCACAAGCAAAAUCUCAACAGACAUUUAAAAACAGGAUUGUGAAGGAAGUCUUGCUCUUGUUUCCCACGAUUAACACUUGAUGAUACUAAACAGCCAUAUUUUAAUUAUAGCACCUGUCGGUAGGCUAUAGUUAAAUAAUUACCCCCGGGCCACGCUGCCUGCCACAUGACGGCUGCUGAACUGCUGCGUCUCUCACGCGUGUGGUGUCCACACAUCUGCUGCUGUUGCUGCGCUGCUACUGCCAAACCCUAUCUUUAUAGUUUGCCUUUCAUAAUGGCCAUUUUAUUUAAUUAUAAAUGCCAUUUAAAUUUAUUUUAGGCAGAAAAAAAAGGUAAGAAGUGUGUUCCUAUUUGUAAAUAAUAAUAAUAAUCCACAAUUAGAAGCUGGUACCCUAUUCAUUUAUAGAACCGUGCAACACACAUCAUUUUCCACAUACUUUCUGGCAAAUAUGUAAGGGAUAAUGUACAACGAGCCAGUCAUUGUUGUGAAAGAAUCCCCGACAGCUGUACAUUAUCCCGCUUAUUACAUGGCUACUUACUGAAGAAAUCAACAUUUUGACACAAUAACGGUCCGUCAGCGUCUGACAUCAGUCGGUUCUACAUCGGUCUGCUAUACAUAGCAACAGUCUGUUGUACAGAAAUUACAGACCGCAGAACGCUGUGAUUGACCAAUCAGAAUUGAGUAUUCAACACAGCCAUAUAAUAAUUCAGAAUAAAAGCCUUGUGUUAACAAAUGAAGAGAUUAUGUCCACAGAAAACCGCUAGAAGGCUUUUACUUUGAAACAGGAAGUGUUGAGUUAAAAAUAAAUAUUCCAUUUUUUUCAUGUUUGUGACAUAUUUUACAGAUAUAGACAUUGAGACUGUUGUAAUGUUGCUGUUAUGAUGUCAAUUAUACUGUCAAAAAAACAUUUUCAUGUGUGUUCCACAAAUGUAUCAUAGGAUGUCACUUCACAAACCUUGGGAGGUUUUUUUUGUGGAUCCUGCUUGAGUGUGAAGGAACUUUGUAAGAGUUUGUGAAUAUUAUUGUCAAAAAUAUUACUUAGAAUAUUAUAACAUUAACAUGUAUUAAACUAAACGAGUAUGCAACAUG